rnacentral:tRNA from 1 species
GGAGAGUUACCCAAGUGGUUCAAGGGGGCGCACUCGAAAUGCGUUAGGGCGGUAACACGCUGCGUGGGUUCGAAUCCCAUGCUCUCCG